rnacentral:tmRNA from 1 species
GGGGGUGUAACGGAUUCGACUGUGUAUCUUUAGUGUCAUCAGGAUGCAGGUGGAGCGCUAUCUCCUGAAACUGGCACCCAAUUUAUCUGCCGACAAUAACGCAGAUUUCGCACUGGCUGCGUAAGUAGUCAGUCAGCUACGCGAGUAGCAACGGGCACCCGCUACGCGGCUCUGAGGAGCGGGCUGCCUGAAAGAAACCAGGGCUAGACUCGUUCGGGGGUUCGGACCCGGGCGGUGACCAGUUCCGGACUACGUCGUGCGGGUUUGUCGGUGAACCCUGUGCGUCGGAAUGUUAAUCGUCGACUAAACUUGUAGAUUCCUGAGGCCGGGUUCAUAGGACGCGGGUUCAACUCCCGCCACCUCCAGUC